GUUGUGGUUAAAAGCUCGUAGUUGAACCUUGGGCCUGGCUGGCCGGUCCGCCUCACCGCGUGUACUGGUCCGGCCGGGCCUUUCCCUCUGUGGAACCCCAUGCCCUUCACUGGGUGUGGCGGGGAAACAGGACUUUUACUUUGAAAAAAUUAGAGUGCUCCAGGCAGGCCUAUGCUCGAAUACAUUAGCAUGGAAUAAUAGAAUAGGACGUGUGGUUCUAUUUUGUUGGUUUCUAGGACCGCCGUAAUGAUUAAUAGGGACAGUCGGGGGCAUCAGUAUUCAAUUGUCAGAGGUGAAAUUCUUGGAUUUAUUGAAGACUAACUACUGCGAAAGCAUUUGCCAAGGAUGUUUUCAUUAAUCAGGAACGAAAGUUAGGGGAUCGAAGACGAUCAGAUACCGUCGUAGUCUUAACCAUAAACUAUGCCGACUAGGGAUCGGACGAUGUUAUUUUUUGACUCGUUCGGCACCUUACGAGAAAUCAAAGUGCUUGGGCUCCAGGGGGAGUAUGGUCGCAAGGCUGAAACUUAAAGAAAUUGACGGAAGGGCACCACCAGGGGUGGAGCCUGCGGCUUAAUUUGACUCAACACGGGGAAACUCACCAGGUCCAGACACAAUGAGGAUUGACAGAUUGAGAGCUCUUUCUUGAUUUUGUGGGUGGUGGUGCAUGGCCGUUCUUAGUUGGUGGAGUGAUUUGUCUGCUUAAUUGCGAUAACGAACGAGACCUUAACCUGCUAACUAGCCCGUAUUGCUUUGGCAGUACGCUGGCUUCUUAGAGGGACUAUCGGCUCAGCCGAUGGAGUUUGAGCAUAACAGUCUGUGAUGCCCUUAGAUGUCUGGGCCGCACGCGCGCUACACUGAC
rnacentral:rRNA from 1 species